rnacentral:RNase_P_RNA from 1 species
AACGGGCCGGAGAUGAUCGCUGUUUCCUUCGGGAUUCAGAGGAAAGUCCGGACACCGCACGGCAGCAUGCCUGGUGAAAGCCGGGGCACUUCAUCGUAAUGGUGAGGUGACGGAAAGUGUCGCAGAAAAUAUACCGCCUACGAUGUCUUUGGACACUGUAGGUAAGGGUGAAAUGGCGAGGUAAGAGCUCACCGCCCCGAGGGCAACCGAGGGGGCAGGAUAAACCCCAUGCGGUGCAAGACAGAACAGGGCGAACGGGCAGCCGGUCCGGUUUCGUGAUUUCGGUCAUGGAAUAUGUCCGGGUAUUAGUCGCACCCGACUUCGGUCGGGAGGGAGAGGCUCUCUGGAGUCGAUCUCUAGAUAAAUGAUCGUCCAUUCGCUUCGACUACGGGGCGGAUGAACAGAAUCCGGCUUACGGCGGCCCGUUCCAU